GCACCGGCUAACUCCGUGCCAGCAGCCGCGGUAAUACGGAGGGUGCGAGCGUUAAUCGGAAUUACUGGGCGUAAAGCGCAUGCAGGUGGUUUGUUAAGUCAGAUGUGAAAGACCCGGGGCGUCAACCUCGGAAUUGCAUUUGAAACUAGGCAGACUAGAGUACUGUAGAGGGGGGUAGGAAUUUCAGGUGUAGCGGUGAAAUAGCGUAGAGAUCUGAAGGAAUACCGGUGGCGAAGGCGGCCCCCUCGGACAGAUACUGACACUCAGAUGCGAAAGCGUGGGGAGCAAACAGGAUUAGAUACCCUGGUAG
rnacentral:rRNA from 1 species